UUUUUUAUAGAUAUAUAAUUAUAAAUAACGCCUGCUCAAUGUAAAUAAAUAGCCGCAGAAUUUUUACUGUGCCAAGGUAGCAUAAUCAUUUGCCUUUUAAUUAAAGACUAGAAUGAAAGGAAUAACAUUUUAAUUACUAUUUUAAACAUAAAUUUUUAAUUUAUCUUAAAUAUAAAAAGAUAUUUAUAAAAAUAAUAGACGACAAGACCCUAUCGAACUUAACUAAAGUUAAGCUGGGGCAGCUAAUUAAUUUUUAUUUUAAUAAAAAAUAAUUUAAUAAACGACCUAAUAAAAUUAAUUUUAUGAAAAAGUUACCGUAGGGAUAACAGCGCAAUAAAUUUUUAAAGCUCUUAUUUAAAAAACAGUUUACGACCUCGAUGUUGAAUUAAUUUACUAUUAAAUGCAACCAUUUAUAAAAGUAGGGCUGUUCGACCUAUAAACAAUUACA
rnacentral:rRNA from 1 species